UGACUGUCCAUUUGCAAUGAACCACUGCAAAAUCUCCUGUAUUGAACAGAUGCUGUCUGGGCUUGGCCAACAGAAGAUUGGAGACAAAGAGGAGAACAAGCCCACAGUUUUAUUUUCCCUGUUACUCUCCCAUGGAAUUCUGCAUGAGUGAUUGUGUCUCAUAACUGAAGAACACAUAAUCUAUUAUUUGGCCUUCUACACACAGCUUUUUUACUCUCCAUUAUCUGCUAACUGGCCCUUGCCUUUGUUCCUUCAAGCCACCAGGUGUUUAUGAUGUUCCACUAUUUCUGGUCCUGGAAUACUGUAUUAUACAUUGUGGAUUCCCUACACUCUGCAUACAGCUUUGCAAAUAGUUUUCUUAAGUUACUUAAUUUGAGUAUACUGUUUCCUAUUAGAAGAAUGGUAAAUGCAGUACCAUAAUCUAUUUUCUGUUUCUAUAACACAAUAUUACAUAUUGGGUAAUUUACAAUAAACAGACCUUUAUUGGCUUGUGAUUCUACAGGCUGGGAAGUCCAGAAUUGAGGGACUGGAAUCUGGUGAAGACAUUAGAGCCCCAUCGUCUCAUAGCAGAAGGUAGAAAGGCAAAAGAGGGUGUGAGAGAGAGAGAGAGAGAGAGCAUGAGUGCACACAGGAGAAGGCCAAAUUUGUCCUUUUAUAAGAAAUUCACUCUCAUGAUAAUGGCACCAAGACACUUAUAAAGGUGAUGUUCCAUGACUCAAAAACCUCCCAUUAAAUCACAAUUCCCAAUACCACUGAAUAGAGGAUCAAGUUUUCAAUACAUGAACUUUGGGGGCCACAUUAAAACCAUAGCAUACAGUAAGUGGUAUUAGGGGCAACACCAAGAAAAACCUUAAGUGAGAUUCUGGGAUUGCAUGUUUCAUAUAUUUGAGAAAUGAUAGAUAACCUUUUUGCUAUGGAGAAAUGGGGAUGAAUAAUCCACAGUAUGUGGUAGCAUGCAUAUUUGCAUGUGACAUUCAAUGAAGUCAGGUGGAAGCAAAAGUGUUUGGAGAUCAAGGGCUGUGGUGAUCUGUUACUACUGCCACAUAGUGGCUAUAGAUUGUGUCCUCAGCUGUCUAUUAUGAAGGCUAUGCAGCACAACCACCCUUUGACAUAUUGAUGGUUUUUGAUUAGAUAGUCAAUAAAGCUUGUUGAAAUAAUUACUAAUAUACAGUUGGAAUUACACAGAAAUCAUUUUCUUUUUAUUGAUUCAACUAUAUGUUCAUUGCUUUAGGUAGGGUAAAGGUUUUGGUGUUUAAGCUUCUAACGUUACCUGUGCUCUGGAACCUCAAUUAACCUCAUUCAAUUCCGAUAUAAGAUGUUAAACUAAGGCAAUUCAUCACUAUGUAAACAAAAUUUACCAGCAUAUAUACCAAUGAUAAAUUAAGAAAAUGUCACACUUAAUGUGCUCUAGGCAACAUUGAGCGGCCCAUUAAAUUAUCAGCUUUGGUAGAUUGUAGCACAGCAAACUUUGUUGAAGAGGAACUAUCUAUCAUGUCAUAUGUAAUUUCUUCUAUUUCUCUUCCCACUUUCUCCCUGGUUCCAGAAAACUAAAAGGUUGUAUGGUACAGUUUGGAUACUGACUCAUCCAUAUAUCUCUCCAGGACAAGUUAAUUUACUACAACUAAGUCAUGUUUUUCACAUCUGCGUAACUUCAUUAUUAUAGUACCUUCUAGUGUUUUGGUAAUAAUAAAAAUAGGACAAUGAAUAUGGCCAGCAAAGUGUCCAAACAAUAUACAAUGUGGAGUGAAAUUUCUACUCAUAACCCCUGCCCCAAAUUUUACCUUGGGAAAAUCACCCAAGCUUUAUCAAGGUCAUUUAUGACUUAUGAAUAGAAGAAAUGAGAACACAUAGAUUGAUAAUGCUGUAAUAAGUGGGAGAAAAUAGAAAGAAAGAACCUGGCAUUCUGGAAAUUAUACAGUCUUUUAAAAAUACAUGUUUAACAGUGAGAAUCAUUUGUUUCACUAGAAUGUUUAUCUGAAAUUACAAAUAUGCCAUUUAGGCAUUGUUAUGGGUUGAAAUUGUCUUCAGAAAAAAUGGUAUGCUGAAUUUUAACUCCCAGUACCUCGGAAUAUGAUGUUAUUUGAAAACAGGGUCAUCGCAGAUAUACUUAGUUAAGAUAAGGUCACACUGGAGUAAGAGUGGUCGCUAAUCCACUAUGGCUAACAUCCCUUGGAGAUGAUUAUGUGAAGACAGACACAGGGAGAAUGCCGUGUGAUAAUGAAAAUGAAGAUUAGAGUAAUGCAGCUGCAAGCCAAAUAAUACCAAAGGUUGCUGGCAACUACCGGUAGCUAGGAAGAAGCAAAGAAGGAUUCUCCCUACAGAUUUCAGAGGGAGCAUGACCCUGACAACACCUUAAUUUUGGACUUUUAGAACUCAGGAACUGUGAAAGAAUAAAUGUUGUUUUAAACCACUCCAUUUGUGAUGCUUUGUUAUGGUAUCCCUAGGAAACUAAUACGGACUUAAAGGUUAGAUACAGAUACCGUAGUAGAAAUCAGUGGGAAGUAUCUUUUAGCACUCUACCUGGCUGUACAGAAUCACUCACAUAGGCAUGGUCUCCAACCAUUUAAGGAGGCGACAAUAUCCCACAUGGAACAGAGAUUAUAGCAUUUCUCUUAUAUAAAGCAUGUGGAAUUUGGUUAGUCUUGGGUAUUUUUCUUUCAUUUUUUACUGUUUUUCCCUAUCAUUUAACUAAUUAGAUAAUGGUUUCAGACAUCUUUCUUA
rnacentral:lncRNA from 10 species